UGCGCAGGCGGGAGGAUAGGUCGGAUGUGAAAACCCCGGGCUCAACCCGGGGCCUGCAUCCGAAACCAUUCUUUUUGAGUAUCGGAGAGGGAAGCGGAACUCCAGGUGUAGCGGUGAAAUGCGUAGAUAUCUGGGGGAACGACCGGUGGGCGAAGGCGGCUUCCUGGACGAAUACUGACGCUCAUGCACGAAGGCUAGGGAGCAAACA
rnacentral:rRNA from 1 species